UGGUGGAUAAUCAGCUUUAAGCAUAGAAAAAUACGCACAUUGGAUGUGGCUGGGCUCCCAGCGAGGCUUUCACAGAGGAUUAGACUCCCACGUCCCAGCGGGCUCCAUCUCAUCGCCUGCUCCCACAGAAUCGAUUUGGCUGUCACGUUUCAGGGAGCCCUGGGCUGUUAUUCAUUGACAGUGGCUGUCUGAUCUCCUGGUCGGUGUUGGGUGAAAUGGCUAUGAUACACCCAUCACAGGUAUCUGGACAGAGGGAAACUGGGACCACUGAACUUUGCCUCUAAACUUCGCCUGGAGCACGAUGAGCUCAAGCAAAAACAGUUCUGAUUCUGCCAUUUACUCAGCACAGACUAUGGAGCUCCUCAGCCCCAUACGUCUGCACUGGGGCCACUGGACUCCACAAGAACCAUCAGCAGCAAGAAGAAAUCAGAUGGCACCUUCAGUGCUCUGCUUGGACCCUCUCCUUAGCCAAAUCACCUUGUGCGUAAGGUGCUAUGCCAUUUCAUUCCGUCAGAGCCUCAUGCAGAAGAUAUACUGAAGAGGACACAGAAAAGGUAUGUAAUUUUCUCAAGGUCACACAUCUUGUGGCAGAGCCAAGGUUUGAAAACAAGUCUUUCUUGGAAGCCCGUAACAUUUCUACCACAUCAACAGCAGGUUGUCUAAAGGGGACCCCUCAGUGUUUGAUGAGUGAAUGAAUGGAUUCCUCUAAGUCGGCUCUGCCACCAGGUUUUAGGGCAGAAACAGCAGGG